AACGCCGGCGGCGCGCUCACACACGCAAGUUCAACGAAGAGCUCCGUCUCGUCGGUGGAUUCGUCGGCCGAACGGGUCGAGUCAUCCGCGAGUUGACCUCCUCUUGACUUCCGGGAUAAGCCCGGGAAAACCGGGUUUAAUACCGGAUACGACCAAUCUCCGCAUGGGGUGUUCGGUCGGAAAGCGUUAUGGAGUCGGUUUUAGAUGGGCUCACGGCCUAUCAGCUUGUUGGUGAGGUAAUGGCUUACCAAGGCGACGACGGGUAGCCGGCCUGAGAGGGUGACCGGCCACACUGGGACUGAGACACGGCCCAGACUCCUACGGGAGGCAGCAGUGGGGAAUAUUGCACAAUGGGCGCAAGCCUGAUGCAGCGACGCCGCGUGAGGGAUGACGGCCUUCGGGUUUGUAAACCUCUGUUAGCAUCGAAGAAGCCGAAAGUGACGGUAGGUGCAGAGAAAGCGCCGGCUAACUACGUGCCAGCAGCCGCGGUAAUACGUAGGGCGCGAGCGUUGUCCGGAAUUAUUGGGCGUAAAGAGCUUGUAGGCGGUUGGUCGCGUCUGCUGUGAAAGGCUGGGGCUUAACCCUGGUUUUGCAGUGGGUACGGGCUAACUAGAGUGCAGUAGGGGAGACUGGAAUUCCUGGUGUAGCGGUGGAAUGCGCAGAUAUCAGGAGGAACACCGAUGGCGAAGGCAGGUCUCUGGGCUGUAACUGACGCUGAGAAGCGAAAGCAUGGGGAGCGAACAGGAUUAGAUACCCUGGUAGUCCAUGCCGUAAACGUUGGGCACUAGGUGUGGGGGACAUUCCACGUUUUCCGCGCCGUAGCUAACGCAUUAAGUGCCCCGCCUGGGGAGUACGGCCGCAAGGCUAAAACUCAAAGAAAUUGACGGGGGCCCGCACAAGCGGCGGAGCAUGCGGAUUAAUUCGAUGCAACGCGAAGAACCUUACCAAGGCUUGACAUAUACUGGACUGCGUCAGAGAUGGCGUUUCCCUUCGGGGCUGGUAUACAGGUGGUGUAUGGUUGUCGUCAGCUCGUGUCGUGAGAUGUUGGGUUAAGUCCUGCAACGAGCGCAACCCUCGUUCUAUGUUGCCAGCACGUGAUGGUGGGGACUCAUAGGAGACUGCCGGGGUCAACUCGGAGGAAGGUGGGGAUGACGUCAAAUCAUCAUGCCCCUUAUGUCUUGGGCUUCACGCAUGCUACAAUGGCCGGUACAGAGGGUUGCGAUACUGUGAGGUGGAGCUAAUCCCUAAAAGCCGGUCUCAGUUCGGAUUGGGGUCUGCAACUCGACCCCAUGAAGUCGGAGUCGCUAGUAAUCGCAGAUCAGCAACGCUGCGGUGAAUACGUUCCCGGGCCUUGCACACACCGCCCGUC
rnacentral:rRNA from 1 species